rnacentral:rRNA from 1 species
UUUAUUGAGAGUUUGAUCCUGGCUCAGGACGAACGCUGGCGGCGUGCUUAACACAUGCAAGUCGAGCGAUGAAGCUCCUUCGGGAGUGGAUUAGCGGCGGACGGGUGAGUAACACGUGGGUAACCUGCCUCAUAGAGGGGAAUAGCCUUUCGAAAGGAAGAUUAAUACCGCAUAAGAUUGUAGUGCCGCAUGGCAUAGCAAUUAAAGGAGUAAUCCGCUAUGAGAUGGACCCGCGUCGCAUUAGCUAGUUGGUGAGGUAACGGCUCACCAAGGCGACGAUGCGUAGCCG